UACGUAGGGUGCUAGCGUUAUCCGGAUUUACUGGGCGUAAAGGGCACGCAGGCGGGCUUUUAAGUGAGAUGUGAAAUCCCCGGGCUUAACCUGGGAAUAGCAUUUCAGACUGGGAGUCUAGAGUACUUUAGGGAGGGGUAGAAUUCCACGUGUAGCGGUGAAAUGCGUAGAGAUGUGGAGGAAUACCGAAGGCGAAGGCAGCCCCUUGGGAAUGUACUGACGCUCAUGUGCGAAAGCGUGGGGAGCAAACAGG
rnacentral:rRNA from 1 species